UACGUAGGGGGCAAGCGUUGUCCGGAAUUAUUGGGCGUAAAGCGCGUGUAGGCGGUCCGGUAAGUCUGCUGUGAAAGUCCAGGGCUCAACCCUGGAAAGCCGGUGGAUACUGUCGGGCUCGAGUCCGGAAGAGGUGAGUGGAAUUCCCAGUGUAGCGGUGAAAUGCGUAGAUAUUGGGAGGAACACCAGUGGCGAAGGCGGCUCACUGGACCGGUUCUGACGCUGAGGCGCGAAAGCGUGGGGAGCAAACGGG
rnacentral:rRNA from 1 species